UACAGAGGGUGCAAGCGUUGCUCGGAUUUACUGGGCGUAAAGCGUACGCAGACGGUGCCAAAGGUCGGGUGUGAAAGCCCGGGGCUCAACCCCGGAAAUGCAUCCGAAACCAUGGCGCUCGAGUAUGGGAGAGGGGAGCGGAAUUCCUGGUGUAGAGGUGAAAUUCGUAGAUAUCAGGAGGAACAUCUGUGGCGAAGGCGGCUCCCUGGCCCAUUACUGACGUUCAGGUACGAAAGCGUGGGUAGCAAACAGG
rnacentral:rRNA from 1 species